rnacentral:misc_RNA from 1 species
UCCGGUUUGGCACCGGCAGUCCCUCUAGAGUCCCCGGCAUUACCCGCUGGCAACUAGGGGCAGGGGUUGCGCUCGUUGCGCCACUUAAGGCAACACCUCACGGCACGAGCUGACGACGGCCAUGCAGCACCUGCGCGGGCUCCCGAAGGAGCCCCGAUCGGGAAGUCAAGGGCUGGUAAGGUUCUUCGCGUUGCCUCGAAUUAAACCACAUGCUCCACCGCUUGUGCGGGCCCCCGUCAAUUCCUUUGAGUUUUAGCCUUGCGGCCGUACUCCCCAGGCGGGGCGCUUAAUGCGUUAGCUACGGCACGGAUCCCGUGGAAGGAAACCCACACCUAGCGCCCACCGUUUACGGCGUGGACUAC